UUUCCUACGGGGGGCAGCAGUGGGGAAUAUUGGACAAUGGGCGAAAGCCUGAUCCAGCAAUGCCGCGUGAGUGAUGAAGGCCUUAGGGUUGUAAAGCUCUUUUACCCGGGAAGAUAAUGACUGUACCGGGAGAAUAAGCCCCGGCUAACUCCGUGCCAGCAGCCGCGGUAAUACGGAGGGGGCUAGCGUUGUUCGGAAUUACUGGGCGUAAAGCGCGCGUAGGCGGCUAUUCAAGUCAGAGGUGAAAGCCUGGAGCUUAACUCCAGAACUUCCUUUGAAACUAGAUAGCUAGAAUCAUGGAGAGGUGAGGGGAAUUCCGAGUGUAGAGGUGAAAUUCGUAGAUAUUCGGAAGAACACCAGUGGCGAAGGCGGCUCACUGGACAUGUAUUGACGCUGAGGUGCGAAAGCGUGGGGAGCAAACAGGAUUAGAUACCCCGUAGUC
rnacentral:rRNA from 1 species